CAAGGAGAAGGAGAAAGAGAAAAAAUCAGAAGGAGAAGGAGAGCAAGAGAAGAGGGAGGAAGGGAGUUAGGGUCUUCAUCCUUAAGGAGUAGAACCAAGAAGUGAAGGGACAACACUGCACGAGGUCAUCGGCUGUCUACUAACACUUGAGAUUCAAGCGUAACGAGGACCUGAAAGAAAAGCCUCCCAAUCUUCAAAAUGUUUGACUGCAACCACAAGAAGUUUAGACACCCCAUGGAUGAUGUCCACGAAGAAGAUGUUAUGUUUAUCAAACAGAGCACAAUUGUUGUUAUUGAUGCUUUGUUUCUCUAACUAUUUAAUUAGUCUUUUAUUUACUUUAUUUGUCAUUUUAGUUUGUGA